rnacentral:rRNA from 1 species
AACGAACGCUGGCGGCGUGGAUAAGACAUGCAAGUCGGACGAGAUUUUUUUCUGUAGCAAUACGGAGAAACGUCUAGUGGCGAACGGGUGCUUAACACGUGGGCAACCUGCCGAGAAGUGGGGGAUAGCUCGCCGAAAGGCGAAUUAAAACCGCAUGUGAUUAGAGAGGACAUCCUUUCGAAAUUAAAGUCGGGGCAACCUGAUGCUUCUUGUGGGGCCCGCGGCCUAUCAGCUAGUUGGUGAGGUAACGGCUCACCAAGGCUUUGACGGGUAGCUGGUCUGAGAGGACGACCAGCCACACUGGGACUGAGACACGGCCCAGACACCUACGGGUGGCAGCAGUCGAGAAUUUUUGACAAUGGGGGAAACCCUGAUCGAGCGACGCCGCGUGGAGGAUGAAGGUCUUCGGAUUGUAAACUCCUGUCAUUGGGGAACAAUGCGUGACGGUUAACUGCCGUUGCGUUGAUAGUACCCGAAGAGGAAGAGACGGCUAACUCUGUGCCAGCCGCCGCCGUAAAAC